CACGUAGGCACCAAGCGUUGUCCGGAUUUAUUGGGCGUAAAGAGCUCGUAGGCGGUUCAGUAAGUCGGGUGUGAAAACUUUGGGCUUAACCCAAAGCGUGCAUCCGAUACUGCUGUGACUUGAGUUCGGUAGGGGAGUGGGGAAUUCCUAGUGUAGCGGUGAAAUGCGCAGAUAUUAGGAGGAAUACCGGUGGCGAAGGCGGCAUCCUGGACCGGCAUUGACGCUGAGGAGCGAAAGCCAGGGGAGCAAACGGG
rnacentral:rRNA from 1 species